rnacentral:rRNA from 1 species
GAUGAACGCUGGCGGCGUGCCUAAUACAUGCAAGUCGAGCGAACAGACGAGGAGCUUGCUCCUCUGACGUUAGCGGCGGACGGGUGAGUAACACGUGGAUAACCUCCCUAUAAGACUGGGAUAACUUCGGGAAACCGGAGCUACUACCGGAUAAUAUAUUGAACCGCAUGGUUCAAUAGUGAAAGACGGUUUUGCUGUCACUUAUAGAUGGAUCCGCGCCGCAUUAGCUAGUUGGUAAGGUAACGGCUUACCAAGGCAGCGAUGCGUAGCCGACCUGAGAGGGGGAUCGGCCACACUGGAACUGAGACAAGGUCCAGACUCCUACGGGAGGCAGCAGUAGGGAAUCUUCCGCAAUGGGCGGAAGCUUGACGGAGCAACGCCGCGUGAGUGAUGAAGGUCUUCGGAUCGUAAAACUCUGUUAUUAGGGAAGAACAAAUGUGUAAGUAACUAUGCACGUCUUGACGGUACCUAAUCAGAAAGCCACGGCUAACUACGUG